GACGAACCGUGCGAACGUUAUUCGGAAUCACUGGGCUUAAAGCGCGUGUAGGCGGGACGGCACGUCGGUCGCUGAAAGCCCCCGGCUCAACCGGGGAACGGGCGCCGAUACGACCGCCCUGGAGGGACGUAGGGGGACCUGGAACUUCCGGUGGAGCGGUGAAAUGCGUUGAGAUCGGAAGGAACGCCCGUGGCGAAAGCGGCUUCCUGGACCGACACUGACGCUGAGGCGCGAAAGCUAGGGGAGCAAACGGG
rnacentral:rRNA from 1 species